GUAUAAAUAAUGAUCAGUACGUUAAUGCACCGUGCUCAGAUUUGAAGCCUUUCUUCUGUUACUCAGUCGUCAUGGGACAGAGGCAGAUGAUCAGAAUUAAGGUCGUGUCAGAUCAGGAUGUGGACGAUCCUGCAGUAAAAGCAGCGACGUUGGAGAAGAUCCAGCAGAUGCUGAAGGAACAUGGGAUGGGUGAGAGCAUCUCUCUGAAAUGGAAGGAGAACCCAGAUGGAAAGGUGUUUCACAAAAUAAAAAGU